rnacentral:rRNA from 1 species
AUUGAACGCUGGCGGCAGGCCUAACACAUGCAAGUCGAGCGAGCGGCGGACGGGUGCGUAAUGUAUUGGGACUGCCCGAUAGAGGGGGAUACCUACUGGAAACGGUAGCUAAUACCGCAUACUAUCGGAUAACCCAUAUCGGAUUAGCUAGUUGGUGGGGUAAAGGCUCACCAAGGCAACGAUCCGUAGCUGGUUUGAGAGGACGACCAGCCACAAUGGGAAUGAGACACGGCCCAGACUCCUACGGAGGCAGCAGUGGGGAAUUUUGGACAAUGGGGGAAACCCUGAUCCAGACAUCCCGCGUGUAUGAUGAAGGCCUUCGGGUUGUAAAGUCCUUUUGGCAGAGAAGCGGUAUCUGCAGAAUAAGCACCGGCUAACUACGUGCCAGCAGACGAGGUAAUAC